rnacentral:lncRNA from 1 species
GGGGUUAUAGGACAAGUUGUACAAGUUGCACAAGUUGUCAGAAGAUCACAAGAAAACCAUUGAGCUAGAUGCAAAAGAGCUGCAAUUUAAAUGAUGCUCGGGAUAGAUCCAUUUUUGUUAAAAUGAUUGCAAAGCGAAAUAAUCAUUUUGCUCCAAUUUUUGUUAGCUAGAAUUCUGCAUGAAAGUGAAAUAAAAAAAAUAUUAUUGUAGACUUCUAUGAAAUGGAAGAAAUGAUUACAGGAACAGAACACAAAAUCAACCAUGGAUCAUUAGCCACAAGCAUGGAGCAAAGCGAAAUGAUUUGAAUGGGUAGCUUUCAAUGGUCGUGCACUCCUGCCUUUCAAUAUCAAUAUAGCCAGAUAGUUCUAAUAACCUGCAAUGACACUUCAGUUGAAUCUGCUUCACUUUCUCUUAGUAUCACCCUCACCCGAC